UACGGAGGAUGCAAGCGUUAUCCGGAUUUAUUGGGUUUAAAGGGUGCGCAGGUUGUUUGAUAAGUCAGUGGUGAAAGCCUGCAGCUUAACUGCAGAACUGCCAUUGAUACUGAUAGUCUUGAGUUUGGUUAAGGUAGGCGGAAUGUGUAAUGUAGCGGUGAAAUGCUUAGAUAUUACACAGAACACCAAUUGCGUAGGCAGCUUACUGAGCCGACACUGACGCUGAGGCACGAAAGCGUGGGGAUCGAACAGGA
rnacentral:rRNA from 1 species